ACUCAUCAAUUGCAGCUUCUGAAAAUGGGGUUCCCUGCUCAGCUCUUGGGCCUCCUCAUGCUCUGGGUCCCAGGAUCCAAUGGGGAUAUUGUGCUGACCCAGACUCCACUCUCCCUGUCUGUCAUCCCUGGAGACCCGGCCUCCAUCUCCUGCAGAUCCAGUCAGAGCCUCCAAGAUAGUGACGGAGACACUUACUUGAAUUGGUACCUGCAGAAACCAGGCCAGUCUCCACAGCUUCUGAUCUAUGGAGCUUCCAACCGGGCCUCUGGGGUCCCAGACAGGUUCACUGGCAGUGGGUCAGGGACAGAUUUCACACUAAAAAUCAGCAGGGUGGAGGCUGAGGACGCUGGAGUUUACUACUGCCAGCAAGACAUGGAAGAUCCGCCCACAGUGGUACAGCCCUGAACACAAACAUCCCUCUCCGAGUGGCCCAGCUGCCCACAUAUGUUGACUGUCUGGGGAGCAGGCAGGCAGAUUCUCUGAGUCAGUGUAAGAGGAAGAUGUUAGAGAAUCAGGGGAGUAGUUUGAAGCUGAGGCCUCUGGACCAUGAAAGCCUCCUCUACUCCUCAGACAUCACAAGUUAAGGCCCCAUCAGCUGCAGAGCCUUGCCUGACAGAACCAGCAGGAGAAUGGAAGGGUCUAAGUGCCCUCUGAGCAAACAGACCUGAGGAAGGAGAGGUGAGUGAAAGCGCAUCCUACUUCUCCCUCCCUCAGGUACAGGUAGGUGUCAAAUAAAUGUAGUCAGUGUAACAGGUGGACAACUGAAGCAGAUUUAUCGCAACAUAAUGGGUUUAGCAGUUUUUGAUAUAUUUUUUAAGAUAACAUGUCAUAAUAUUCAAGAAUAUUUUUCCCCACUUUCCCCACUUUCUGAUUCUCCCUUUUACUACAUAUCUUCCUACCUGUUUACCAUGUUC